UGCAUGGUGGCUUAGUGGUUAUCAUGUCUGCCUUACAGCUCUAGGUUUGGGGGUUCAAAUCCCACCUCUGCCC